UGCUGAAACUGCACUUAGUCGGAGAAUGGAAGCUUGUUGUCAACUUGCCUUGGAUGGAAAUGCUCGAGGGGAGGUGGUGUCACCCAGUUCGGCCGGCUGGCAGCGAGAGAGAUGCAGUCGAUCACUCCGAAAAGGCGUCCAGGCUUGUCGAGUGGUGAACCUUCAACUGUUACAAGUGGGCAGAAGAUUUAAAUCUGCAAAAGAUGCUGAUGACCAUCUGAACGUCUUUCGGUCGAUAACUGAUAGGAAAUAAGUCUGUGAACAUGUGGUUUGGAGGAUGAAGACUACAAAUGACACAGAAGAUGACAUGAGUUGGAAGUGGAGGGACCAGGACUGCAGCUCGGGUGAUGCUGUAGCAGCACGGAAUGGUUUGUGGGUUACACUGAGAUGCAGGCCAUACUGUGCUGCCGCAGUAAAGCCUGAAUAUACAACCUGGCUGUCACCCCACGGUUCUUUCAACCUGUUGAAGCUGACUUGUUUAUUAUCACCCCUAGAUUAAGUAAUGCCACAUAGACAAUUGUUGGUCUGAUGAUUAAAAAAAAAAGUUUGUUGGAUUUUCCUCUCUCAUUUGCGGGUCGCUUUACUGUAGCAGCACGUAAAUAUUGGAGUUAAGACUCUAGCUGAAGCCUCCAGUAUUGAUCGUGCUGCUGAAGCAAAGCUGACCACUCACAAUCAGCGCCACUGAGUGUACUCUGACCACCCUGGUGGUGCCAAAGUGCUUGAGAGAUGCUUACAGGUACACUGUUUACACAGAUUGAGUUAACCUCCAACACUACUUUGCUUUAAUAGUUAAAAUGUGUACACACCAUCUUUUUACGUUUCACUGUUCUGUCUGCACACUUUAAGAAAAUAAAAAUUUCAAUUGGC